rnacentral:lncRNA from 1 species
ACAAAACUGUCAAUUAUUAAAUUGAUCACGCUGAAAACGAUUAUAAUUAGAAUAAAAGUUAGUUAGAUGUAUAAUUCAUCUUAUUACAAAAUAUGAUCAAUCAAUAGAGUAAUUAUAGUACAUGCAUGCCAUUACCGAUUGACAAGUAUAUGCAACAUACACACUCGAUCAUCAUUAUAUUAUAACAUUUUGAAGUGUA